rnacentral:tmRNA from 1 species
GGGGAUGACUGGUUUCGACUUGGAAUGGUUGUUCCAGGAGAAGCGGGCCGAGGACCCAGGGUCAACUCGUUAACGAUCCUUGGAAACCUAUAAGUGCCGAGAACACUCGCACUGACUUCGCUCUCGCUGCCUGAUCAGUGAUCGAAGGGUCAGCCCGGAUGUAGCCUUCCGUCCGGAUCCUGGCCUCGUUUAGAAGGCUUGCCGUACAGCUGUGGUCACGGGGGCUGUACGGGACGUUUACGUGACUGGGCUUGUCUGCACCAUGUCGGUGUGAGUGCAGGAGCC